GGCCGUGAACUCCCAUGUGUUUGUGUUUCUUGAUUACUUUCUUGUCCUAAAAACAUAUACAAAUGAGCCUAGGGUAAUAGCAUAACACAAGGAACAAUCUCGGCUCGGUUUCGGGAGUUUACCGCCCAAGAACACCUUGGGGAGUAAACUCCUAGAUCUAAUGAUUUAGCCAUCUAAAUCAUGUUAUAAGCACAUAAUAAGCUCUCUAACACUACUAGAAAUAGGUACUCAUAAUUUGGGAUAAAAACCCGAAGAUCCGUUAGAGAGAAAAUGGCUUUUCUCUAGUUGGAAAUGUGAAUAAUGAAUGAAUUUGGUUCAGAAUUCUAUUUAUAGUCCUGAGAUAUUCUUGGAAGAAAAUAUUUUUAUUCCUGUAAUGAUCUCUAAUAUAAUAGAGUGUUGGAAUAACAGUGUUGCACAAAACCCUAGUGCACCCACUCUCCUGAUAUUUCCGGAAGUGUAAACCCUGAAUUACUCAAACUUACGCGAAAAGUCUGAAAAUUAAAUGUGACUGCUACAACUUCUAUUGAAGUGAUAUAGUUUGUACAGAAUGGAAAUUCCAGGUUGUCACAACAAACCAGAAAGAGAAAAGGAGAGAUACCUCUUGCAAGUUUAUAUGUGAACAUAAACGGGAGAAGAAGAGAAGCCUGCAAGUAAAUUGAGUGGUGGUGGUAGUGGAGUAUAGGGUUUUUGGAGAAAGGUGGGAUUAGAAGGGAUGUGGAAUGCGAAUAGGCGUAGUGUUUCAAAGGAUUUUGAAAAUGACGGAUUCGAUUUUAUUAAGAAAUAAAGAGAAGGUGGUGAGGAGUGAGGAAGAGAUAUGGAUGGAUUGGGUCAAUUGUUGACCGAUUCAUUUGGGGUGAGGAAUACCCACUCAGUUCAAUUUGACAUGACUUUAAGAUUCAUAAAUUAUUUAAUGCCAAAAGUUGUUGUAAAUGCUACUUUAAGGGGUGUACCUCUUAAAAUUUAGCAUUUGGAGGUAAAUGCUUAUUAAGGUGUGUGUAUAUAUAUAUAUAUAUAUANAAAAAGGUUGAGAAUGGGGGAAUCAUUCUCAGCCACUCAUUUAUUUUUGCCGCAAAAGCCUCUGUUAUACUAGCGGAAAUGGAUAAGGAAUACACAUGUGUUUCCAACAAAACAUGUUUCCUUAAACUAUGCUAAUCAUUACCUUAAUAUAUAAAUAAAGACAUAGUUUCUUUUUUGUUUUUUUAAUUUUUAAGAAACUAUUUUUAUCGAAAAAUGAUUUUAAAGAUACCAAAAUUCAUGAUUUUUUAUUCUCUACAAAUAGACAUCCAUAUUGGUAUACUUUUAAGAUAAAAUAUAUUUUUUUUUAAAUUUUCAGCUAUCGUUAUUCAUAAGUGAAUAAAAAUACAUCAGAUUUUUGCUACAGUACAUUCAUUAUUCACUUAUAAAUAAACAUAUACGAAUAAUAUUUUUUAUAAUUUAACUAUCAUUUAUACUACUUAUUCAUAUAUAAGUAACAAAUUAACUGUAACAAAAAUCUGAUAAAUGUUUUAUUCAUAUAUGAAUAUAAAAUAUGACAACAACUAAUACACAUUUUAUUCAUAUAUAAAUAUUAUCUAUGACAAAAUAUGAUGUAAAAAAUAUAUUUUAAGUAAGAAAACUUUAUCACGUGUCAUAUUCAUAUAUGAACGAUUCUUAAACUAUAAAAAAAAGUUAAGCAUACGUUUUAUUCAUAAGUGAAUAACGAAUGUAUUGUAAUAAAAAUCUGAUAGAUUUUUAUUCACUUAUGAAUAACGAGAGUUGAAACUCUAAAAAAAAUAAAUUUUUUAUUUUAUCUUAAAACUAUAUUAAUAUGGAUGUCUAUUUAAAGAGAAUAAAAAAAUUUAUCAAUUUUGAUAUAUUGAAAAUAUUUUUUCGAUAAAAAUGGCUUUCUAAAAAUAAAAAAAACAAAAAAAGCAUGUUUUUGUGUAUAUUAAGGUAAUGAUUAACAUAGUUUAAUGAAACAUGUUUGGUUGGAAAACAAAAGUUUAUCCAUUAUCCAAUUCCGACGAUACACCUAACUAUUUUGCGGCAAAAUAAAUGUGUGGCUGAGAAUGAUUCCCCCAUUCUCAACAUUUUUUUCUCAAUUGAACCCUCUCUCUCUCUCUCUCUCUCUCUCUCUCUCUCUUUAUAUAUNNNNNNNNNNNNNNNNNNNNNNNNNNNNNNNNNNNNNNNNNNNNNNNNNNNNNNNNNNNNNNNNNNNNNNNNNNNNNNNNNNNNNNNNNNNNNNNNNNNNNNNNNNNNNNNNNNNNNNNNNNNNNNNNNNNNNNNNNNNNNNNNNNNNNNNNNNNNNNNNNNNNNNNNNNNNNNNNNNNNNNNNNNNNNNNNNNNNNNNNNNNNNNNNNNNNNNNNNNNNNNNNNNUAUAUAUAUAUAUAUAUAUAUAUUCAUAACUUUUUAUCUUUUUUCCGAUGAUAUCAAAUUCGAUACUAAAAUCAUCAAAUUCACAGUGUGAAUCUGUGCAGAUUCACAAUGUGAAUCUAAAUUCACAUAGUGAGCUCGAAAAUUAUAUAAUUUAUUUUUUAGCAUUCACAAUGUGAAGUUAUUAAUUUAGAAAUUUUUAGUUUUCUUUUCGAUAAACAAUAAAUUCUAAAACUUGAAAAAAACAAUUGGUUCCUUGGAGAACCAAUAAUUAUGGUUCUCUAUUGAAAAAACUUGAAAAAAAAAUUUGUUCCUUGGUUCCUUGAAAUAAAAAAAAUAAAUAGAGAUCUUGAGAUUCAACCUCAACCACAUAUUUCUCAUUUGCCGGUGUAACGCUCCAACAUAUCCGGCAACAUCGGGGUAUGCCUAAUCAUAAAUGAUUAUAUGGCAAAAGGUAUAAUCAUAUAUGAUUAUACACGGUUAUAUGUAUAUGCCUAAUCAUAAAUGAUUAUACAUAUAUGUAUGUUCAUAUAUUGAGUAAUUAUAUAUGAUUAUGGCGAUUGUUGAUAGAGGAGGUGACAGUGGAAGAUGUGGUGGUAGUAUAGGUGACGGAGGUGGCAGUGGUGGUGUCAAUCGAUGGCAGUGGUAUUGGUAUUGGUGGUGGGGAAGGUGGCACGGAGAAAACAAACAGGCGACACUGAAUAAUCAUUUAUGAUUAUAACUCUCCCGCGACGUCGAUACGCUGGAGUGCUAAAGCGGCAAAUGAGAAAUAUGUGGUUGAGGUUGAAUAUCAAGAUCUUUAUUUUUUCUUAUAUAUAUAUAUAAUAUAUUGUAACAUCCCAAAAAUUAUAAGGUAAAAAAUUUCAUUUUUGUUCAACCAGAAACACUAAUUAUAUUCUUUCCAAUCAUUCAAAGUAUUUCAGAAUAAAAACAGUUAUCAGAGUACAAUCCCAAAAUCAUAUAGUUGCGGAAACAUGGGUGGAUGCGCUGCGAUCAAGCCGGGUCCUUCCCUUUCGGACCAGAAGUACCUGAAACCAUAACCAUAAAACUGUAAGCACAAAGCUUAGUGGGUUCCUUGAAAUACCAAUACAUGCUAGUAUCAUGGGCUACCCCUACGGUCUUUCCUUGCAAUGUCGAGGGUCAAAUCUUGGUUUUACAUACAAGUGCCACGGGCUACCUCCAUUGUAAAAUCCCAAAAAUCUAAGGUAAAAUUUUAGUUUUUAAAACAAUAAUCAUACAACAAGUUGGUCCAAAACCAAUCAAAGUGAAUAUAUUAUGUAAACAUCAGAGUAAUAUCAUUAAUUGCUAAUGCGGAAAACUCGGACGCAUGCUGUGCAGUCACGUUGGGCCCUUCCCUUUUUAACCGAAAGUACCUGAAACUGUAAACACAAAGCUUAGUGAGUUCCCCAAAAUACCACAUACCAAAAUAUACAAGUGUUAUGGGCUAACCCCAUGGUCUUUCCUUGCAGUGCCAAGGGCCAAAUCCCAGUCUUACAUACAGGUGCGAUGGGCCAGAUCCUGGUCUUUCAUACAACUUCCAUGGGCCAGAUCCUGGUCUUUCGUACAAUUGCCAGGGGCCAGAUCCUGGUCUUUCAUACAAUUUCCAGGGGCCAGAUCUUGAUCUUUCAUGCAAGCAUCACAGAAACAACUAGCAUUCCACAUAACAAGUAACGGGCCGACAUUGGUGCCUUCGACCCAUGGAUAUAGUGAGAAAAGUUACCUCAUAGUCUGAAAGAACAGCUAAACCGAUCACUCCUCUAAAAGUUAUCUCUACCGAUCACCUAUACAAUUAACAGGAAACCAAAUCUCAAACUAUAAAUCGAAUUACCCAAAAUGCCCUUAGGUUAAACUUGUCAACCCUGGUCAAAGUCAAAGUCAUCGGACAAGGUCUAAAAGUCAAUAUUUCUUCCCAGCGGAGUACGCCCUGCGUACCAAGAGAGUAUGCCCAGUGUACUCUAAUGUUGACCAAAAGCGGGGCGCUGACCGCGUACACACAACAUACCACCAAGUUCACCCAACGUAUGCAGCCCAGUCCCAAAACUCCAUUAAGAGCUUAUUCCAUUAAGCCCUUACGUCCAAAACACAUAUCCAAGCCCAAAAUGAUGUCCUAAGUCAUAAAGUUUCCAACCUUAUGACUUUUCAUGGCUAUAAGGUGCUUAACGUCCAAAACCCUAAGUUCUUAACCUAAUAAGACAUCACAGCUCGUGCAUGGAAGGGAUAAAAAGGGCCAAGAUCACAUUUGUAUGGUUCAUAAAAACUCCAUAAUGGAUAAAUUUUCCAACUUUAUCCAUUAGAAUGGCUCCCACAAACAAGAUCUAGUCUUUAAGCCUCAAAAGGACCUAAAAGUGCAUCUUUUUCAACUUAAUCCAUUAAGUACAAGUCUCCAACCUUCAAAUCUGACUCAAAUGAUGUUUAGAUGGAUAAAGUUUCCAACUUUAUCCAUAAAAGGUCACAAAAUUUCAAGAUCUAAACAUUAUGCACUUAAAGAGACCAAAAGCUCAUAACACCCAAAAACUAGCUAGAUCUGACAAUUCCAUCAUCAUGAUUCAAACUUUAUACCUCUAAAAGAAAGAUCAAGGUGAACAAAGUUUGGAUCUACAUGCUUCAAUGCAACCAACAUUUCUUCAAUGUGAUUCUUCUUCUCCAAGGUGCACCAAGAACACUCGAAAGCACUUAUAAACACCUUCUUUUUUCUUACAAGGCUCAAUUUAGGGUUAGGGUCACAAGAGAGGGUGUUGGAGAGGUGGAGGCUGAGAAUGGAAUGGGUUUGGGGGAGUUAAGGAGCUUAAAUAGGGCUCAAACCAUGAAAAUAGGUUUUGGGCACUGAUCGCAUACACAUAACAUACUCAAUUUAUGCCCAUCGUAGUAGGGAUGCCCUAGUACGCCCCACAUACACGUUAAGUAAGCCCAACGUACGCGGCUCAACCCAAAACCGCCCUAACUUCAAACAUAACUUCUUCGUUUAAACUCCGAUUUCGACGAUCUUUAUAUCCAUAGAAAGGUGUUGAGAAGCUCUACAACCUUAUCAACUCUCUUUUGCCUUAAAACUUACCGAAAUUAAAUCCAAAAUUCAUAAUAGGCUUGAACUAUCACUUUACAGUUAUACCCCUUGCGCUCCAAAGGACCAACCAAAACUCUCGGAUCACCUAAUCUAUAUUACCUACGUCCAAAGGGGCCUAAAUGUCUCUCUCCCCAAGGCCCGAGGCCCUAUGAUAACUAAUCUUGAGUACACGGACCCAAAUUAUGAAACGAUUCGAAACAUGGUGUUACAACUCUCCCCCGCUUAAAUUAUAUUUCAUCCUCAAAAUCAUUCCUUACUACUUCCCCUGCCAUGCUAGUCGAUCUUGCCCCAACUUCACGAAUUCUGAUUUAACUUGAAGAAUCAUCCCAUACCGACGAACGCCUCCCAAACCUGCCAUCCAGACCCCAUGUUGGCAGAAAUCACUUUUUACCUCCGAAAGAAUGAACCUUAACACUAUGCCCUCUGCCAAAGAAGGAAGCCUGACUGCUCUUCUUAAGAUUUGAAACAACUACCAUACUCUUGUUAACUGGAAGACCUCAUAUCACAUCGAUAACCACCCAAAGCAUGAACAUCCUGAAAACAUGAACCCAUCAACUUAAACACUAAAAAUUAUUCCCUAGGACUACUGAUCAUUCAUUCAUCGCACCAUCCCCUAGUCUUUGACUAGGACUACCAUUCUACUAUGCAGAAGGAAUGCUUAAAAUAUACCGAUAGUGAAUUUCACCAAAUCCCCAAUUCGGAGGUUGCGCCUAACAACCUUAAAUACACACUUGACUUCCUGACAAGUCAUCACCAACCUGCUGAUCCCACGAGCAUAAGGAUGGUCAUUCCAAAAAUUCUCACGUUGCAUUCAAAUCCCAUUUCGGAUCAGGUGCACCCCUACCUGACAAAUCACUCGAGACUUUCGCAAUGAACCUUAUGAAUCGAGAUUUCGUAACCGAUGCCCAACAUUGGUAACCGAACUCCUGAUAGAUAGCUCACAAGCCAACUGAGUUCAUAAUGCAAACAUUCUGCAAGUGGCUACUAAAGCACAACUAUUAUUCCUAACAACCAUUAAUUUCCGACAUGCUCCAAACCAACUGGUCACUGAAUCUCUCGACCCCCACAAUACACUCGCACUCAAAUAAGCCAAGAAAGCUAACGAUCUGAGACCUAAGAGUCUCAAUCAAAAGACUAUCAGGUCUUACCCAUAUAAAUCAUACAACCACUUGUUCACGAUACAUCAUGACCCCUUCUAACCACUAAACGAUAAGCUCACAACACUAAAUCCAUCUUGUCGUCAUCACAUCCAUCGCCUGAAGACUCGUUACCAGCACCAAAUGGGCCUAACGAUACCCAACCACCAGUCUACCGACUUACAGGAACCCAAUCAACAUCCCACUUAAUGCUAACUGAACACAACAUGGGUCAUACCCUUCUAUCACACAUAAUUCCCUUCAUAACACAUAUUGAUAUCAACAUAAAACUAGACAAGAACAUGGUCGCACACAACCCGAGAAUGAGAUAGACGGUCACACGCUUGUUCCGAAUCGAAGGCUAUAACAAUAUGCUUAGUAGAAAGUGAGCUGCAAUCAAUAAGAAGUGUGCCAUGUUUAAUUCGAUCUACAACAAACUUUCUUCGCACAAGCAAAGUGGUGCGAACGACUUCGAUGUAUUUAGAGCCGCGAGGGAGCAUCAUGUCGAAACGGGCCAUGUUUAUUUGUACGGCUAAAUUUGGGAGAUUUUGAGAAAUGACCCAAAAUGGAUUAAGACGCCAACAUCAUUAGAGGUACAAUCAAAGAGGUCUCGUGGUUCGGAUUCGAUUGAUACUUUUGAUGCACGAACGAACAUCGACCUCAACGCCGACACCGAUGAGCUCUCAGACGACAUCGUAGAGAUCUCCCCAUCACAACGACCGAUAGGAUGCGAAAAAACGAAGUGCGCUCAACGAUAUGCGGAGGAUAGUGAAAGCAGGCUUCAAGAGCACGCGGAAAUGAAAUAGAAAUUCGACCCCCACAACACAAUCGCAAAUAAAAAAACAUGAAUUGCAAUGUGAGUAUUUGGAGUUCCUUCGUGAUCAAGUGGAGGAAAAUCGAAUGACGAAGGAUUUGGCAAUUCUUCAUACAAGUGAGGAAAAUAUGGCACCGAGACAAGUGCAAGUGCUCCGAAAAAUGAAGGAAAAGAUCAAGAAGAAAUAUUUGGGCAAUGACUAAUGCAUUGUUUUUAUGUUUUUUAAAUUUAGGAUUAUCAUAUUUUUUCUGUUCAAUGUUUUGUUUUUUUGUAAUGUCGUUUUUAGUUUUUAAAUGUUAUUUUUAACUUAGGAUUUAAUUAAAUUACAUGUGUUGUUAAUUUAUAUGUUUUUUUUAUAAAUAUUAUGAUAUAAAAAAACAAUUCAAAUAAUAGAAAUUAAAAAAUCAAAAAAAAAAUAAAUAAAUAAAUAAAUAGAAAAUAAAGAGUGUUAUUUGGUGUUGUCUAUGUUCAUAGUUGGUGUUAUAACACCGUACUAGAUUAUAACUCGCGUCAAACGCGGGGGAACACAUAAAAAAGUACAAAGUGUUGAAUGACAUAUUUAUAGACAACUUUUUAUGUUAAAAGAAUUGUAUAUAUUAAUGGGUUAAAAUGAAUUUAUUCAAUUCAUCAAUACAUAUAUUAAACAAAAUUAAUAUCAUAAAGCAAAAUAAGAGAUGAGUUGACGAUUAAAAAAAUUAACUCUGUCUUUCAUAUCGUUUCCGUCAAUUGAUUACCACAGUAAAUAACAUCUUUAACAUGACGGUCGAACAAUACAAAAGAAGCGGACCCAAUUUUAUAUUGAACAUGAAUUAUGACCCUCACCCUCAAAAUUAUAAAAUAACACUUUAAUGGACAAUGAAAUAAAAUUGGAAACAUUCAAAUAUAGACUAAUGGCACAAAAACUUUACAAAUGUAAAAUUAUGAACUUACUUGCUGUAAACAUCAUAAACUCCAGCACAACCAUCACAAGUAAAUGAUUAAGCAUUAGUAUCAUCAUCAUUCUUACUUACUUUUUUUGAACAGUCACCACAAUAAAAAGAAUACCAACCUUCGUCCAAAUCAAAACCGAUAAUAGUAGCAAUAAUGGACAAACCAAUUUCCUAUUUCAUAUUAUAUAUAUAUAUAUAUAUGUGUGUGUGUGUGUGUGUCUAUAUAUAUAUAUAUAUAUAUAGACACACACACACACACACACAUAUAUAUAUAUAUAUAUAAUCAUUGUGUUAUAUGCCAUAAAUUUGUAAAAUUAAUGGAAAAAUAUUAAUAUUGUUAAGUAUACCUCAUUGUAAUCUGGAAUAUUAUCAAUGUUCUUGAUUGGGAAAUGGAGGUAGUAAUCUUCUGUCUUGGCCACAACAUCAUCGAUGUUAAGCUGUGUAGUACUAAUGGAAGACUCAACAUUCAAAUCCAUAUCAACAAUACUACAUAUAAGAAGAAAAAAAUAAAGAAGGUAAACAAUAUAAAUAAUUAAUGAUCAAGAAUAAGGAAAAACAAACAUUAAGCUAUUAAUUAAUGAUAAAAGACAUAUGCUUUUUUGAAUUCUGAAAAAUGAGACAUGUCAUCAUUAAUAUGUAAUCUCGACCCAAACAGAUAGUUACUCACUUCAUGCUCACAUGGAAAUAACAAUUAAAUUUGUAAAUUAAUUUAUCUUAUAAAUAAAAUAUUAAUGUAAUGACAUGGACAUUUAUAAUAAAAAAUAUUCUUACCACCCCAAGUUUUAAGCUUUGUCGUACGUACGAGGAUGAUAACACUUGCAAUAUCAAAAGUACAUUGCGUUUUUUCUUUUUUACCUCUGGAAAAAAAAGCAUAUGUUGAUUGAGAAACAGAGACACAAACAUAUAUUAAAGAAAUAUAUGAAUCAUUCCCAAAAAAGUAGUUUUAUUGCAAGGGUAAAUAAGUCAUUUUGAAGAAAUAAUAUAUGUAGACACUAAACCUUUCGGGAAGGUACUCCAUUUUUACUUUUCUUUAUUUCUAUUUUCAUCCGAUCAAAACACAGAAUCAAAUCCAAUUAAUACAUAACUAAUUAAACUGAAUUUUACUUCAUCCGAUCCAAAAAUAGAAUAUAAUCCAAACACACACACAGAGCGAGCAAGCGCACGCGCGCGCGCGCGCGCGCGAGAGAGAGAGAGAGAGAGAGAGAGAGAGAGAGAGAACAUAGAAUCCGUUUAUCAAAAACUCACUAAGCCAUUGAUACAUAUACUGAACAAAUAAACUAUAACAAAUAUAAGAAAUUAAUCAGUAAAUCAAAAAAAAUUGCUAACCUUAUGAAGCUGACAUACGAACGUGAUGCUGCAAAGUCCAAAUUUCAUGAAAUUGUGAUAACAACUGAAUGAGAUUAUACUUAUACAUAAUUUUGAACAAUGAUUUUGGAAAGGAUAUGAAGAAAUUAAUAUUGUGAUUCAUAUCAUACUAUUUUGAAUUCUUUGAUUUCAAAUUCUAUAAUUAUAAAAGAUAUAUACAAAUUAUUUGAUUUGAAAAGGGAACCAUAUUUAUGUUUUGAUAAUUAUGCUGACAUUUAUUUCACUUCAAUAAAUUCCAAUUAAAAAUCCUAGUCACCAUUAAUAAGUUUUCAACUUCCGAAACGUAAAUCAACUUAAUUUAGUUAAUAUUAAAUUUAUUUUAUUUUAUGAUGACAUCAUUAAAAUGAUUCGAUGGUUGAAAUUAAUCAUGGAAACACAAUGAAUGACCAUGAUUAUUGAAAGUGAUAUCAUCAAAUUUCUCUUUUAAGAGGAUGCGGUAUGGGUCUCGUUGAGACUCGUUGUGGUUGAGGUGGACGACCUUAACGCUGUCUUAACGGGGGGAACACCGCCCCCUACUCGUUGCAUCUCGUUAAGCAAUUUCUCUUGGCCGUUGCGACGUAUUGAAAUGACAAAAAUAUAUACGUUCAAUGGGUUAAUGACUGUUGCAAACGGUCAAUAUUUGAAANUUAUUGUGUUAUUGUAUGCAUACUUAUUUUAAGAAAGUGAUUAAUAUAUAUAUUAUUGAAUUAAAUAUAAUUGAAAAAUAUCAUCUUAAUUAAUUACAAGGGUAAUUUAGUCAAUUAAUAUAGAUUUAAUAAAGAAAAAUUUCAUUCUUUAAGGGAUCAUAGAUUCUAUUAAUUUUAAAAAUCCAAUUCUAUGAAUUAUAAUUCUUUUAAUUCAGACAUUCUGACAGAAUAUAUGUUUAUGAGUAUAUUCAAAACUAAAAAUAUUCUUGAACCAUAAAUAAUAAAAAUAUUCUUGAACCUAUUUCUUGAUCAUUAAUUUAAAAACUUCUUGUAGCAUAACAAAUUCUUGAACAAUCAAUUGAAGAAUAAAAACAAAAAAAUACAUUAUUUCUUAUAGAAUAUGGUAACAAUGGUUAAGAAUUACAUUUAUUGUUAAAGAAUAAAACUAAAAAACAAUCAAAACGGGAAAGAAAACAUCAAAAUCUAACAACGAUUAAUACAUUCUAAAAGAAUAAUGUGGCCCGUUUCAAUUUUGUGGCCCGUUCUUCAAGCAUCAACUUAUAUGAUUCCAACAGAAUUGGAAUAAGUCAUUCCAUUCCAAUAGAAUUGGAAUCUCACCAAUAUCAUCCAUUGAAUUAUCUACAUAAACAUACUUGAUACCUUUUUAGAAUUCAACCGUGUCAAGAUCCUGCAUUGUCCACAUAAAUGAAGUGUUAAAUCAGGAAAAAAACCUAAAUUGAAAUAUGAAUCAAUUCGUAAAAUGCAGCCAAAAAACUGCUCAUUCUAAUAUGUAUAUUAGUCCCAAAUAAAAUAAAACCACUAACGGAUGUCAUCUUAUAGAGCCUAACGAGACUAUCUUAGUAGAUAAUAUAAAAAGAGCUAACACCAUCUUGGGAUGACAUAUAGAGUCCUACUCACAAAAAUGUUGCACCUCCAACAAACCAAUGUACUUUAUCUCUACUUCAAAACGUUCUGAUGUUGCUACUGAACUAUGCAUAGAUGAUAGAUGAUUGCUGAUUUAGUAUGAAACAAACCUGUUCCUCAAAUGAUACAACACGAGGCUGAAUCUGAUGAAGUGUGUAAUGAGCGAUCUACUUUUGAUUUCCAUUCCUUCCCUGCCAAACACCCAAUCCAAACACCCUUUGGUUUCUAUCAAAUGAAACAAACCCAAACACCCCAAUGAUUUCUAUCUAACAUUCAAACAAAAAGAAAAGGGAAGAGAACCUGUUACUGAUCGGAGCAACUAAUGGGUAUGAAGAAAUCAAACAAGUAGAGAGGAACAUGAAAAGCAAAUUAAUCAUUUCCUGUUAAAAGAAUCAGAAAAAAGACAAGCUGUGGAGAUGAUCAAACCUUUGCAACAAGAACUUCACUCAAUUUUGAGUAUAAAGAAUCUCGACGACUCUGUAAGGAUGUCAAAUUUGUGCCAUAUGAAUUCAACCUGUAUAAAGGAGAUAUCAAUUCAAGUUUCAAAAUUCGAAUGUAAAUCCACUUUGGGAGAAAAUGGAGUACAAAUUGAUGCCUGUUCAAGCGGAAUUGCUAAAUUAAAACACUACAAAAUACUAAAAAAAUAUCAAAAAUUUUACCUGUUGUUAGAUGCCAUUUUAUGCAUCUUAUAGGGUAGUUAUUAUCAUCAUUUUAGCAUCAUAUUUUGUACAUUUGCAUGUCAUUUAGAUAAACAAUGUUCAGCUCAUGUCUUUCAUUAGAAUUCUCGUACUGCUUAUGUUUUUAUGUCAAUUUCAAAUAGUUCGAGUGGAGCAGUGGAGAUGAUCAAACCUUUGCAACAAGAACUUCACUCAAUUUUGAGUAUAAAGAAUCUCGACGACUCUUUAAUGAUGUCAAAUUUGUGCCAUAUGAAUUCAACCUGUAUAAAGGAGAUAUCAAUUCAAGUUUCAAAAUUCGAAUGUAAAUCCACUUUGGGAGCAAAUGGAGUACAAAUUGAAGCCUAUUCAAGCGGAAUUGCUAAAUUAAAACACUACAAAAUACUAAAAAAAUAUCAAAAAUUUUACCUAUUGUUAGAUGCCAUUUUAUGCAUCUUAUAGGGCAGUUUUUAUCAUCAUUUUAGCAUCAUAUUUUGUAUAUUUGCAUGUCAUUUAGAUAAACAAUGUUCAACUCAUGUCUUUCGUUAGAAUUCUCGUACUGCUUAUGUUUUUAUGUCAAUUUCAGAUAGUUCGAGUGGAGCAGUGCUUUGGGAGCAGUUGGAUGCGUGUUUGGAGCUUAAAAUGGAGCUUGGGAAUUAUGGAGUAUGUUGAGGAAUGCUUGCAAGAUGCUUUGGUCAAGAAACAUUGGAUUGAAUUGAUCACACGAAGAUAGAAUAUGCAAUCUAAAGUUAAAGGAUGUUGCUGGCAGCUUUGACCCCCUGUCAGUAUUUUGACCAUAUCUCGAGAACCAUUCUCCGAUUGACGCAAUUCAAAAUGAUAUGAAAAUAGACGAAAUUUCGGACCUCAUAGGCACAACCUGCGAUCGCAGGUUGUCUCCUUUCGAUCACAGGUGACCCUUUUUGCGAUCACAGGUGUGGUCGCAGGUUGCCUUCGAGGUUCUUUUGUGCCCAAAAUUCAUCCGGGAGUGAAAACUCAAUACCUGCGAUCGCAGGUAUUGAGUUUUCACUCCCGGAUGAAUUUUGGGCACAAAAGAACCUCGAAGGCAACCUGCGACCACACCUGUGAUCGCAAAAAGGGUCACCUGUGAUCGAAAGGAGACAACCCGCGAUCGCAGGUUGUGUACAUGCGAUCGCAGGUGCACCGUUUUUUCUACUGGACGUAUAAAUAGACCCUAAUAGCAUUCCUGUAACCUAAGUUGGCGAUUUCAGAGGUUCCAGACGACGAAAAUACGAUUUUGGAGGCGUUUCUUCUCUACUUUCAUCAAUUUCUGAAGACCUGAAGAAUGUGGAUCAUCUCCUAUGUUCAGUUUAGUAAGAUUUAGUAGUUUAAUGUUUCUUUUUAUUGUUUUAGAUAGGAUUUUAGCCAUGUCUGGCUAAACCCUAGUUUUCAGUUCUGAAAAGACAAGNCUGCAAAAGACAAGUACUUUUCAUGUGAUUGAUCAUUAGAUCUGGAUUUUUAUUUGUGUUUCUAUCUAGAUUCUUCAGUUUUGAGCUUAAUGAAUGUUUGAUUUGAAUUCUUGUUAGUCUGAUCACCUAGCUAGGAUUUUAUCAUUUCAGUUAAUCAGUUAAUAGAAUUCAUAAUUUUUCUAAUAAAUUGGUAAAAGUAACAAGUAUUAAAUCGGUUCCGAGUUUGGGAUUUGACUUUAUUAUAAACUGUAAAAAGCAUACCUUUACGCUUCCGAGCUUGUGAGAAGUAUUAGGUAUUGCUGGGAAUUUUACACAAAUCAAAAAGCAAUUUUUCUGAUUUAAUUAAGAGCUUGUUUAAUUGAACAGUAAAAAUUUAGGGUUAAUUAAAGAGCUUGUUUUGGUUAACUAAUUAAGGUAAAAGAGAAAUUACUAGAGCUUGUUAGUUUUUCUCAGUACCAGCUUAGAUAGAACGCAUCACAAAUAAUCAGAUCUGGAUCAGUUACAUGAUUAGGAAAGUCGCAGCAAAACUGAAACCGUUUUUAUUAUUGAUUUUCAUUUAGUUUAAUAUCACUGUAAUUUUAGUUUUUAGUUUAAUUUAAAACCCCCUUUUAUAAUUUCUGUUUUGACUAGAUGUGCCUGAUGCAAAAAGGCAUUGACUUUUAGGUUGUGUCCCUGGGGAUUCGACCCUGCUUGCCUGUGCUAUAUUUUUAGUGCAACCAACAGUGAUAAAUUUAUUUGUUUAAUACGUGUGCGACAGCGUGUUAACACCUAUACUUGACACAACCCGAGCAAAUAGAAGCUAGAUUCGAGUUCUCGCAGAAACCGCAAGUAGAUGAUUUCCUAGUUAUCGUCCUUGAAUUCUGAAACCCUAAAAAAAUUAAUGCAACGACCAAUAUCAAGCUAACGGAUUACAACAAUUACUGUACAAAAUUAUUUUACUAAUAUAAUCAACGAAUGCAAAUAUUCUAAUUGAAAUUGUUGGGAAGAUCUACCAAAUACGUUGCCCCAGAUAUCGAACAAAAACACUGUCCCCCUUUAACUUUCUACAUAGUUGACCAUGUGGGGUUUUGCUAUCGAAGACGAAAUUGAUGAAUACAAUCGAUUUAUAUGUUGUAGUUAUGUGGGUAUGAGUUUGAAAACUUCCUAUGAUAGUGAGGGGUUCCUCCAUGACUACCUUCGAUUAGAUGUACAGUAAUUCUCAACUCUUGAUUUGAUAAAGGCUACAACUCCGGAUUUCCGAUUAGAACUUGUGGACGAUCAGUGAGGGGUUUCCGAACACGAUCCGAAAGCGUCGAUACCCUCUAGGAUGCUAGGGCUUUAUCGGGUGGGAGAUUGAGGAAGACACACUUAUUUAUUUAGUCAAUACCAUUAUUAAGGGAUUAUUUUUAGAAUUUACUAAGCAAAUUACUAAAUUACUCUUAUUUAUUUAAUUAAUUAUUUAAUUUUUUAUUUAAUUUUGAUUGGCCCACAUUUAUGCAUACAAUAACACAAUAAUUACUUUAAAUACCUCAACCUAGCACUCUCUCUCUCUCUCUCUCUCUCUCUCUUUCUAUAUAUAUAUAUAUAUAUACUCAUUUUAAUUCAGCUUUUACAUCUUUUUAUCAUUCUCUCUAUAUUUUAUACACUUUCUUAAUCAAAAAAUGGAUCAAAACCCAAACACCCCCCCUCCAUCAUCAAACCCAAACACACAACCAAACACAACCUCGCUUCUCGGAUUUGCAGGUUAUGAAAAUUAUUUUAACAUUUUAUUGUCUCAAGGAUCACCACAAAAUCUCAUACCAAGGCGCCGCUUUCAAUCCCGCUUCACCACCACUACAAUUUCCCAACUCACCUGACCUUCAACAAAAUAUAUUGGUCAAAACCCAAAUUUACAACAAAAUAUUUUCCCUACUUUUACGUCGAUGCAACAAACAACCAACCAACCCCCACCUACAACACAAUCAUCGGUUGAAGUGGAAGCGGGAGGUAGUAGGAGAAGGAAAGGGAAAGUAAAAUCGAAUGGGAAAUCGAUAGCGGUUGAAACAGAAAAUGCAGACGUUCCACAAUGAUGGGCACCGAAGGAGAAAUAUGCUUUGACGACGACUGUGUGUACGACUUCAAAAGACGAACUCCACAGAAAUGGAAUGAAGAAAGGAGCUUAUUGGGGGGGGGGGGGGGGGNGGGGCGGUGCGCGACAAGUUUCAUGCUAUAUUGAAGAAAAAUCUAUAUCGCAACAAUGACAUGUUGAGCAACAAAUGGAGUCAAAUAACUAAGCGGUGCAACAAAUUCAACGGUAUUUACAACCGGCUUGAGGCGCAACAGCAAAGCGGAACCAACGAAUUCGAUUUGUUCAAAUCAGCAAAAGAACAAUAUCGGGUCGAAAUGGGACAUGUUUUCGAGUUUGAAAAAUCAUGGGAGUUGUUGUGAGCGGAUCCAAAGUGGAAUAAAACGCCUACAUCGUCGGAGGUUCAAUCCAAAAGGUCUCGCAAUUCAAGCUCGAUCGACGUGUCGGACGUACGGAAUCACAUCAACCUAAACGUCAUCAUUUGGAUUUCCUAGAAAGGCAGGCACGGGAGAAGCAAGAGCAAAAAGAUAGGGAGCUAAUGACAGAACAAUUGUCAAUUCUUCGAACUAGCGAUGAGGGUUUGACGUCUCAAGAUCUAGCGGUGCUACAAGCAAUGAAAGAUCAAAUUAGGAAGAAUUAUUUGGGUUAAUUAUGAUUUUAGGAGUAAUUUGAAUGGUGUUUUAGGAGUAUUGUUGAAUUACUAGUAUUGUUGUGUGGUUUUAGGAGUAAUUUGAAUGGUAUUGUAGUUAUGAUUUUAGGUUUAAAAUUAUGUUUUUUUAAUUGUAAUCGUAAUUUUAGAUUUUUAAUAUUAUGUGUUUUUUUGUUUUUAAAAUUUUAUGUUUUAUAAAAAUAUAUUCAUUUUAGUGAUUAAAAAAACGUAAAAAGAAAAAAAAUGAAAAAAAACGAAAAAAAAAGAAAACCAAAUUAAAAAUAAAAUAAAAAAUAAAACAUAUUUAUUCUCAAAAAGUUGGUGUUGCAUCUUGUUGCAUAUUUCUCUACUUGGUAUUAUAACAAUAUUUUCUAUGUAACAUGUGAGGUGACACAACUUAAUGUUACAUCUUAUUAUCUUAUUGCCUACUCCCCGUUCUAAUAUAUAACUAGGUGUGAGACCCAUGUAGACCUGACAAUGGGGCGGGUUUGGAGCGAAUCGACCUUGAUCCAAACCCUUUUAACAAAUUCCAAAACCCGAUCCAAACCCGUAGAGUUUUGAAUAAUCAAACUCAUACCCUUAUCCUCCGAAUCAGCAUAUAUCCAACCCCACCCCGUAACCCGUAGGUUUUUUGAAUAAUCAAACAAAUUUUACUUAAAUCAUAAAAUCACAUUUGUUAAAUAAAACAAAUGUUGAUUUAGAAAACACAUUAUAUACUCGAAAACUUUUGAUUGUAAUUAAAAUCAUUGUUGUAGUUACUUCUAAUUAGUUUUUGAUCCUUGAUUGCAUUGAUAGAAAAUGACAAUUAUAAACUUUCUUCAAGUUGAUAAAUGAAUUUAUUGAUUUAUAAAUGAAAUUGGUGAUUACAUGAUAAAAUAUAAAUGAAAUGACAUCACGAUUCUUGAGAGAAUAAUGAAAGUCUAGAAGUUGAGUCCCCGAAUCCUAUGUAUAAAUAGUUUAGUCUUUGGCCUUUUCUCUUUGGACUUUAAUUUGGAAUUUAAAGUAAAAUUUAGGCGGCAUAAAAUAUAAAUGUAUAAUUUUAAAAUUUAUAACGGGCGGGUUAUAAAUGGAGCGGAUCGAUGAUGAUCUAUACCCGACCCUUUUAAUAAAAUGGUUAGCGGGUACGAGUCGUUAACGGGUAAAGGAAUAAAAAACUAUGCUCCAAANNNNNNNNNNNNNNNNNNNNNNNNNNNNNNNNNNNNNNNNNNNNNNNNNNNNNNNNNNNNNNCCGGGCCUAGACCCAUGUAUUACAUUAGUUUAUUUAAAAAAAAAAUUAAAUAUAAAAUUUUAACAAUUUGAAAAGUUUUAAUUUAUAAGAAAAAUGAGAAAAUUUUGAAUUAUUAAAAUUAAUGAGGCUUUAAUGUAUUAAAUACAUUACAUGUAUAAACUCUUUCUAAUAAAUAUCUUACAUAUAUAUUAUUUUACAUAUUAAAUGUGAAAUUUUAAUUUAAUAAAAUGAAAAAUACAAUACACUGAAAAUAAAAAAUUUAAAAUUUCUAAAAAAUAUAAUGUAUCCAAAUAAAAUAGAAAAAAAUAUCCAAAUAAAAUAGAAAAGAAUAUAUGACAAAAAAAAGUAUUCAUUUAUAAUAGAAGACUAGAAGAGAUAAAGACUAGAAUUAUGAAGUUACUUUUGGAUGUAAUAAUGAUCCUAGUAACCACCGGCUUAAUCUAAACUUGGACAACUAUACAUAGGCGAAGGGUUGGACGAUGUCGUGUCGGGUUAUUCCUUCAUCUCCCUCCAAUCUGCAUACCUCAAAAGUGAAAACCCUCUUUCAUAAUGCUAUCUCUUUCCCUUUCCUCGCCCAAUCCUCGCUAUUGCCUUUCAAACCCCUUCUCUCUAGUAACCAACAACCCCCGUCUUCAUGUAUUCACCAACGACCAAUAUGCCGGAGUUGGAAUCACUUCGCCGGAGGAACCGAUUGUUACUCCGGUGGGACUCCAUCGCGAGUUAAUGCCGAAGCACGUUGCAGUCAUCAUGGACGGAAAUAGGAGAUGGGCUCGGUCGCGAGGAUUGAUGCCCCAGGCGGGCUACUUAGCCGGUGUCGGAGCAUUGAAGGUCGUGGUGGAUCUGUGCCGUAAGUGGGGAAUACAAGUUCUUACAGUCUUCGCCUUCUCAUCUGACAACUGGUUAAGACCCAAAGUAUGUGUAAUAUUGAAAUUGAAUUCCAAUUUCAUCAGAAUUUUUGUGGGUUCAGUCGAUUGAUUGGUUGUGUUUAUGGUAGGUUGAAGUCGAUUUCUUAAUGAGACUGCUUGAAAGCACAUUAAAAGAUGAAGUUGCUUCUAUGUCGAGGUAAUUUCCAGCGCUUAGAAUAAGUUUUCAAUCAAUUUCAAUCCACUUUCAAAAUGUAAUUCUGAUGACAGGGACGAAAUCCGAGUUUCUGUCAUUGGAGACAUAUCUAAGCUUCCACCGUCAUUACGAGAUUUCAUUACACAUUGUGAGAACACCACGAAGAACAAUUCACGACUCAAUCUUGUUAUAGCGAUUAAUUACAGUGGGAAGUAUGAUAUCGUCCAAGCUUGUCAAAGCAUCUGCCAAAAAGUCAAAGAUGGUGAGGUUGAACCUGAAGAAAUCAAUGAGUUUAUGAUCGAUAAUGAACUUUGUAUGAAGUUGAUACGGUUUCCAGACCCUGAUCUUCUUAUUCGGACAAGUGGGGAGAUUAGAGUGAGCAACUUCUUUUUGUGGCAAUUGGCAUAUACUGAACUAUACUUCACUGAAACCCUUUGGCCGGAUUUUGGAGAAGAUGAACUUCUACGUGCUUUUCAUACUUUUCAACAGAGACGGAGACGAUAUGGGGGAUGAGAUAUUCGUGGGCUAAUAAUGUAACUAUGUAACACUCAAAACGAAGAUAAGUAUUCUAUUGCAAUGGUAUAUAUAUUUCAAUUUCUUUGUAUUUUUUUUUUGUCAAAUAUAUCAUAUAAAAUGUAACUUCCUCAUCAAACGGUUUGCUUCAAGAUAUUUAAUGAAAUCACCAACAUAAGCUUCAUAUCAAGGAUACGAAUGCUAAUGCAAAGCAAACUGAGACUAGACUACCAACAGCUAAAUGAGCAAAAUUGAGGUGAAAUAGUGCAUGCUAAAAACUUUUAAAAGGUUGUCUCUUAAUGGUUCUAUUAAGAGGCUUACAAAAUAACCCUUUAGUAUCUUGCUCCAACGUAAGACGUUGAUUUUGUAUUUUUGGCAAUGACCGGUGAUUUUGGAUUUGUUCUUCACUCGAAAUCUUAUAAUUACUAUCUUUCUUCUUCCUUUAAGCCAAACAAUACAUAGUAGAUUACGCAAAAUCACCACCAAACUAAUUCAAGAGCACGUCACACUAACAAAUAAUUGAUGUUGAUUUUCAUGUUGUGUUGAAUGAUAAAAGCUAAAUGUAUUAUCACUUUUACCGCAUCAUCUCUUCAAGAUCUUGUCAUUUAAAGGGGAUCGUUUGCCACUUUUGUCAUAAGAUUUUUUUUCUCUUAUUUAAAACUAAAAUUAAUUUAUAUAAUACUAAAUUUUCAUUAAAAUUAAAAAGACAAAUUCACUUGAAAUUAAAUGAAAGAUAACGAGCUUAAAAUUAAAUAAAACACAAGAUACUUGAAAUUUAAACAUAACAAACAUCAAAACAUGAAAAUAACACAACUUGAUUCGACAUAUUGACGUCAUUUUUCGCACCCAAUUAUAACUUGCCAAAACUAUACAAAUUGGAAAGGUUCGUUACUUUCUGCACGGAAAGUUUGAAGAGUAUUGACUAACACAAUUUCAUCAUUUUCACCAUUUUCUGACGCACAUUUCACUCUAAGAAACAUAACGUGAAAAUGUACUAACACUGUCGGGGCCGGUCUUGAGGAUUCAAUUGCCUAGAACGAGCUGGAAAAAAGACCCUUAGUUCCUUAGUUCUAACGAGUAACGAAUUAAAUUGCAUAAACUAGUUUUUUUUAAAUGACGAUAUACUUGAUUUUACAUGAGCUUAGAUUGUAGUGCAUGAUCUAAACAACUGCUUAUUCACCAAUAUAGUUAACCAAACUAUCUUAGGUAGAAUUUAGUGGAAUCCGUUUCAAUUUUCAAGCAUCUUUACAUCACCUAAAAUAAUUAGUGAUCACACCAUAUUCACAUAAUUAAGAUCACAUUUGUUUAUUUAUAUAGUUUACCUAGACCAUAUUGCAAGAAGGAAUUGACACGAAUAACAUAUAAUUUUGGACGUUACAAGAAGGAGAAGAGCAAGUAGAAGAAAACCACCCAGAACAACCAACCUAAAGGAAUAUAGUAGAAACAAGAAUAGGAUAUUAAGACUAUCAAGUGUUCAAAUCAUUGUAAGGUUAUAAACAAGAAUAGGAUAUUAAGACUAUCAAGUGUUCAAAUCAUUGUAAGGUUAUAAACAAGAAUAGGAUAUUAAGACUAUCAAGUGUGCUUGAAAGGUUUAUGAUUUUUAAAAAUCAAUUUCCUAUUUCAAUCUCACACUUGGAUAACUACUUGGUCAUCAGAAUAUAGUAGAAACAAAAGCUUCAUUUUAAUCGAAUAUCAUAUAAGUUAUUGUCUUUCUCUGCGAUUUUCCUGGUGAUGCCUUGUUAAGAUUGGGGCAAAAGUGCAAAACAUUUGAGUUUCAUGAUAAUAGUUUAGCUAAGUAUAGAAAUCACCAAAUGCAAGUCAAUUAUGAUUUACCAGUGAUCUUUAUCAUUACUAACAAUCAUGUUGGACUCCAUAUGUUUAUUUCUGAAAGAAAUGUACUCCUAAUAUCCACCCCUCAUAAAUAUUCUAACUUGAUCGAUGGAAAAUAUACAAUUUCUCGAUUUUUACUUAGUGUUCUUGAGGAGUUCCAGACUGGGAUCAACAAUAUAAACACCGGUAGUUCAAACCUAACUACAAAAAGUUGAAGAAUGAAGAAUUAUGGGUUGAUGGAAGUACCUUUUGAGAGGAAGAGCCGAUACCUAGAGGGUUUGAUGAAGACGAAGAAGCAGGCACCACACACAGGCGGCCCCGCCCGUGACCAACUCCCUUGCUUGAAGCGUUGAAUGACUGCGUCUGGCCUUCUACCUACUGCCUUCGCGUGUGGAUUAUGGAGUAAUCAAUCUAUCCUUUGCAUUUUUUGUGCCUAUUCCUGAAUAUAGCAUAAAAAAUUGGGUCCCUAAAACAUUUAGGCCCUGUNCCCCCCAAAAAAAAAAGGGCCUGCACAUUGUAUUUGUUUUUUUCUAUUUGGCGAAAAGUUGAUCGUUAGUUCGAUGGUGACUUUAACGUAUUUCGUUGUUGUGUCGAUCCAUAUACAAGCCAAAACGAUCUCUUCUGCUAUGGUUCAAGAAUAAGCCAUUUCUGAAAAUUGUGAAAAAUGAAAAUGUUUGUUUGUAUUUAUUUUAGUUGGAAAGGAGUUUGAAAUUUGAAAGUUCUGAAAAAAAAAUAUUAUAAUUUGGAAAAUAAGGUAUUUUUUGAAAAGUGGUAUAAAAAAUUAAAAACAAUUCAGCAAAUUGCCGAUUUCAAACUCAGCAUGCCAAGCUAAGAGAGUGGUAUUCGUCGAGUCCAACUCAGCAUCGGACAAGCUAAUAUCAAACAACCUUAGUUACAACAUCACAAUACACAAGCAAUAUGCCACAUGACAACAAGAUGGAAAAAUUUGUGAAAUUGCCAAAAAAAAGAAGGGUUGGUCGAAGAAAAUGACCAAGAAUUAGGAGUUUUCGAAAAAAAUGACCAUGACUUCUAUAGAGAAGGUCUGUGCGGAAGUCUUUUAGCUUUGAGGGACAAGAAAACUCUCUAAGGAAAUGAGUUGGCGGGGGAAAAGGAAAAAAAGUUUAUAAAAUUUUAAUUUCGUAAAAGGUGCAUCAUUCCACAUAGAUGCCUUUUAUGGAUCUGCUUUUGAAAAGUACUUUUAUGAGGAAUUGUUCUUUGCUAAAACAUGGUCUAUGUUGGCUAAAUUGUCGAAGAAGUAGACUUAGAAACAUAGUUUUAUAGUUUAAAUUGUUAUUUUGAAUCAUUGAUAUGUGCUAAAUGUUGAUACAUCAUUAGAUUUAAAAGAAAAUAAAUAUCAAAAUCGUUAUUAGGUCAUGUUUUAGUAAAGAACAAUUUUUUAGAGGAGUACAUGUGAAGAAUAGAGCCACAGAGGACAUCUCUGUGGAACGAUAAACCCUCUGCGGAAUUAAAAUUUUAUAAUUUUUUUUUAUCUUUUUGUUUUUUCCGUUAUUUUUCGAAACCUCCUAAUUCUUUAUCAUUUUCUUUCAUAAAGCCCCUUCUUUUUUUUCAUUUCACAAAUUUUCUCUACGAGGAUAUUCAUACAAACGUUAACUAUUGGUCACAGUACCCAGAUAUAUUUUUCCCAAUUCAUGUGAACCACAUACCACCAUCCUCCGAAACCACCACUAGAUAAGGGGUUAUAGAUAAGGCCUAACCAUUCUUAUCCGUGAGAUGGAUUCACGUACUUCAUCCAACGGUUACCAAACCCUCACUUAGAUAACCCCUGAACAACCAUCCAACUCUAUACAUCAACAACUAAAUUCAUACUUGAACCCACACUUAUCCCACGACAAACCGGAGCACAGUAGCCUCCAUCACCGACAGUCAUGGCAUCCACCGCAGCUGCGGCCGCCGCCACGUCUUCUUUCAUGGGAACCCGUCUCCCGGAACUGCAUUCCAGUUCUGGUCGAGUCACGGCCCGGUUUUCCUUCGGAAAGAAGAAAGCAGCACCUAAGAAAGUGUCCAAACCCGUCACAUCCGACCGGCCGUUAUGGUAUCCAGGUGCAAAAGCGCCGGAGUAUCUCGAUGGAAGCCUGGUUGGAGACUACGGGUUUGACCCAUUUGGUCUAGGUAAACCCGCUGAGUAUCUUCAGUUUGAUUUGGACUCAUUGGAUCAAAACUUGGCUAAGAACUUGGCUGGGGACGUGAUCGGAACCAGGUUCGAGAAUGAGGACGUGAAGUCGACUCCUUUCCAACCAUACACCGAGGUGUUUGGGCUUCAGAGGUUCAGGGAGUGCGAACUGAUACACGGGAGAUGGGCUAUGUUGGCUACCCUUGGUGCGCUUGUUGUUGAAUCGGUGACUGGUGUUACAUGGCAA
rnacentral:lncRNA from 1 species